rnacentral:rRNA from 1 species
GGAGGGUGCAAGCAUUAAUCGGGAAUUGUUGGGGCGUAAAGGGCGCGUAGGUGGUAUAUCAAGUCAUAUGUGAAAUUCCAAGGGCUCAACCUUGGGAGCUGCAUGUGAAACUGAUAUUCUAGAGGAAAAGCGGAGAAAACGGAAUUUCCCAUGUAGCGGUGAAAUGCGUAGAUAUGGGAAGGAACACCGGUGGCGAAGGCGGUUUUCUAGCUUUUACCUGACACUGAGGCGCGAAAGCGAGGGGAGCAAACAGGAUUAGAUACCCUGGUAGUCCUCGCUGUAAACGUUGCAUACUUGAUGUGAUUGGGCUCAACCCCAAUUGUGUCGGAGCUAACGCGAUAAGUAUGCCGCCUGGGGAGUACGCUCGCAAAGGGUGA